AUUCCAGCUCCAAUAGCGUAUAUUAAAGUUGUUGCAGUUAAAAAGCUCGUAGUUGGAUUUCUGGUAGAAGUAGCGACCUUGGGUCUUUGACCUAUGAAGCUGCUAUCUUCAACCAUCCUUGAAGAGAUUUAGUUUGGCAUUAAGUUGUCGAACUAAAGAUAUUCAUCUUUUACUGUGAAAAAAUCAGAACGUUCAAAGUAAGCAUUUAGCUUUGAAUGUAUUAGCAUGGAAUAAUGAAAUAGGACUUAGGUACUACUUUGUUGGUUUAUGCACCUAGGUAAUGAUUAAUAGGGAUAGUUGGGGGUAUUCGUAUUCCAAUGUUAGAGGUGAAAUUCUUGGAUUUUUGGAAGACGAACAACUGCGAAAGCAUUUACCAAGGAUGUUUUCAUCG
rnacentral:rRNA from 1 species